ensembl:lncRNA
CGCUCCGUAUGGCAGAAAAAAACGCUGGGAGGGGCGUCUAAAAAAACGGCCGUGACUUUUUCCAGAAACGCUCUGCUCCAUAGGAAUAUAAUGUAAAACAUGAGCUGGCAGAUUUAAAAUCGCUAGAUGUGAACACGGCCAGUCAAACGUGGCGGAAUAAUAAUAAUAAUAAUAAUAAAAACACUAACGAUUCCAAUAGGUUGCCUUCGCACUUUGUGCUUGGCACCCUAAUAAUAAUAAUAAUGACGAUGAUGAUGUUGAUAAUAAUAAUUUAAUAUUUAUCUCACUUUGUGUGUCUGGGAGUUUUGUUGGCGAAUCAAAUACAUCAUCAGCGAUGCCCUCAAUGUAUGCGACGAUAGCCAGGAUCAUUGCGCUUCUGGACUGAACUAUUUCAUCAUGGCUCAAAAGAAGUUUAGGCCCUGCCCCUCCUGCCAAGAACCUAACCAGGUGAGCCGAAAAACCUGCAGCAGUUGUUUCGCAGCUCUCUCAAACAAGGGAAAACUAAAGGCCAAAACGGGGUCCCUGGAUAGGAAGUGGGCGGAAGGGGUCCUGAAAAAUCGAAACGCGGCAAGAGUGGUGAACUCUGCCCAUAUUGCAGUGAAAAAACUAAGUGCAUUGGGCUAUGUCCCAAUUUUAUUUUAUGCCAGAAGGGGAGAAAGCCUCUGGAAAGUGGGUGGCUGAUGUGAUGAACCAGCUGACACCCACUGAGGAUAACCUCAAAAUUUUAGCCAGUAUGAAAAAGGCAUACAAUUUUGUUUUGCUUAAAGAAGGGAACCAGCCCCAGCCUCAGCCUCAGCCUCAGCCUCAGGCCUUUGCCCUGGCCGAGCCCCUGGCCCAGCCCCAGGCCCUGGCCCUGGCCGAGCCUGAGCCUCAAUAUCAUAUAUUGGACCUAUACCCUGUCUUGCCCCAGCCCGAGCCCCAGCCCCAGGCCCUGGCCCAGCCCCAGCCUCAGCCCGAGCCCCAGCCCCAGGCCCUGGCCCAGCCCCAGCCCCAGGCCCUGGCCCAGCCCCAGCCUCAGGCCCUGGCCCAGCCCCAGCCUCAGGCCCUGGUCCAGCCCCGGGCCCAGCACCAGCCCCAGGCCCUGGCCCAGCCCCAGCCUCAAUAUCAUAUAUUGGACCUAUACCCUGUCUUGCCCCAGGCCCUAGCCCAGCCCCAGCCUCAGCCCGAGCCCCAGCCCCAGGCCCUGGCCCAGCCCCAGCCUCAGGCCCUGGUCCAGGCCCAGCACCAGCCCCAGGCCCUGGCCCAGCCCCAGCCUCAAUAUCAUAUAUUGGACCUAUACCCUGUCUUGCCCCAGGCCCUAGCCCAGCCCCAGCCUCAGGCCCUGGCCCAGCACCAGCCCCAGUCUCAGGCCCUGGCCGAGCACCAGCCUCAGGCCCUGGCCCAGCACCAGCCCCAGCCUCAGGCCCAGCCCCAGCCUCAGGCCCUGGCCCAGCACCAGUCUCAGGCCCUGGCCCAGCACCAGCCUCAGGCCCUGGCCCAGCACCAGCCCCAGCCUCAGGCCCAGCCCCAGCCUCAGGCCCUGGCCCAGCACCAGUCUCAGGCCCUGGCCCAGCACCAGCCUCAGGCCCUGGCCCAGCACCAGCCCCAGGCCCUGGCCCAGCCCCAGCUACAGGCCCUGACCCAGUCCAAGCACCAGCCUCAGGCCCUGGCCCAGCACCAGCCCCAGGCCCAGCCCCAGCCUCAGGCCCUGGCCCAGCACCAGCCCCAGCCUCAGGCCCUGGCCCAGCACCAGCCCCAGGCCCAGCCCCAGCCUCAGGCCCUGGCCAAACCCCCCCACCAAAAAAGAAAGUGUUGCCGGAAAUGUAGUAGGCAAAAAAUAUUUCAUUAUGACGCCGUCACAGAAAGGAGGAUGAAUGAGUGGAAAAACCUGGGAGGAGACAUGGGAGCUGGCCUGCCAGUUCCCAUCCUAAGAUGCCGGCCAGACUUUUUUCAUUUAUUAUAAUUGAUUUUUGUUUAAAAUAAAGGAAAGUAUACCUAUAUUUCUGUUUACGUCUUUCCAUUAGCCUUGUGGAUUAAAGAUGAAUUAAUUAUUGCCAA